UAUCAACUGGUUUUACCUAUUUGUAAAUGUAAAUUUGAGUAUCCGGGAUUUGAUUUCAAAUUCUAUCUAUAUCUCAAUUUGAAACUAGGGUUAAUAACAAUGAUGGUGGAGCGCUACAAGAUCAGUAAACCGAAGGACCUGCAGGCAUCAGCUGGCACUGAUAAUACUGAUAAACCCGAUCUUCAGGUUCGCCCUUCAACUUAUACGCAUGGAUGCCGAAAGAUCAUUACUUAUUGACCCACGUACUAUUUAUUCCUCAAGCACAUCUUUUCUUUGUCGUUGGGACAACUUCAUAUGGAGUAAACCAAUUAAGAAGUUUCUUUUUCAUUACCUAAAUGGGCCUUUGUAACUGUUAUAUAUGCGGCUUGAUGGUGCAGCAGCUGAAGGAGACUGCUUCGAUGCUGACAAAGAAGCUCGAGUUUCUUGAAGCUUCAAAAAGGAGACUGCUGUGGGAGGGUCUCGAUUAAUGCGCGAACAAGAAGUUGGAACUGACAGAGAAGCAGCUCGAGAGAAGCUUAAGAAAAAUCAGAAAAAGGAAGUUUCAACUGUGAAAGCAGCAGACUGAGCAGCUCAAGGAAGGGGGAAUGAAGCUAUUAAAGGAAAACAAGAGAUUACGCCGGGAGGGAACGCAAUCUCAUUGUUGUUCUGAAGGAGCAGUGGAUCAGAAUUCCAACGUGGAGACGCAAUCUUCCCGAAAGUCAAAAGUCGAUUGCUUGGAGGGAACCUGAAGAAUAGAUCACUGAUUCAAUAUGAAUUCUUCUAUGUGCUCUUUUUAAGUGCCGUGACCGGUGUCGACUGAGCACGCUGUCUUGAUUCUUGACAGUUUCAUUUUGAAGUAUAAAACAUGAGACUAAUUAUUAGAUCUUUGAACGAAUUUUGGUGCAUGUUUACUAAUGAAGUAUGGCUGGACCUGAAUAAACUCUAACUAAGAAGAGGUUGAUUGGGAAUGCCAACU